GAGAAGGAUCCACACGAGAAGACAGCUUUCAGCUGACUGACCUGCCUUGCUUGCAAAGACAUAUGAAGGAACAGGUACUUCAAAAAUGCUUCUAGUUUAAUAAAAUGCAACACAACUU